GCCUAACCGCCUGACAGUGGGGGGAGAAAAAGAGGAAGGGACGGAGAAAAAGGAGAGGAAGAGUAGGGAAGGAGGACGUGUGGAAGGGAUAAUUGACAUCGGAGGGUUUGGAGGAAAGCAACAAAAUGGAGGCAGAACACGACGGAGGAGAAGAGGACAAAACAACAAGCAUUUAAAUGAAUCAUGCGACCUGUAGUUGACUACUCAUUUUUUGACCGGAUCAUAAAACGUUUUUUAUUCUGCAUUUAAAAGGCUGUGCAUGGAAAACCGCAGUCACUAAAUCAAAUCCAUCCGGAGGAAAGAGGAGAGCGAGUGAGUGAGAGAGAGGGGGUGUUUCUCAGCCUGUUGGAGAGAGGAAUGUGUUGGAGAGUGGACAAAUCAAGCAAGAGCGACUGCACAAUGAGGACUGGCGCCACUCUGCAGAACAGACCUCUGAUUCUCAAAAAUCCUGUGAUCAUUACUGAAUUAGUCAAACGAUGGCUGCAAAAACACAAAAACAGGCGCCUGUGGCCACUCCAAAGCACCCUCGGAAGAAAAGAUAUUGUGGAACUGCUGAGAGGAAUGCUCCAAACUGCUUUGGGGUUUCAGUACAUUAAAAUACGAAAAUGUGAUUCAAAUGGGUGUUGAGUUUUGUCUUCUGCGUGCAGUCAUAAGGAGCAUGAUAAUCCUCCCAGUGUUCUUUAUGAAUGAGGUGCUGUGAACCUGAAGCAAAUCAAUCUUUCAGCAAUAUAUUACAAGCACCAACUUUUGGAAUACUUUUUUUCCUCCUAAAGUACAAUUUGUGAAAGGCUUGUCUUUGUCUUCUAAGAAACAAUGAUGAAGAAAGAAGAAAUAAACUGC